rnacentral:rRNA from 1 species
AUGCCGCCGCCAAGCGCUCGCGGCCCUGUCAUCCUCGACACCUCGCCACAUACUCCUCGCGCUGCCACCCUCUCGUCACUGCCACCUCGCGCCACCACCACCCUCUUGCAGCACAGGUCAACCGCGGAGGACGCUAACGCCGGUGCUGGCGGUGAGCAGCAGCAGCCAGCGCCCAAGGAGGAGGAGCCCAAGCAGAAGCAGACGCCGCAUCGGCAAGCGUCAGCCAAGGCGGCCCACAGCAGCGCCGACUCCGAGCAGGAGCCAGCGGCCAAGGCGGAGCCUAGGCAGCCGACGCCGCAGAGGCAGCAGCCACCGCGCCAGGCGUCGAUGAAGGAGAAAGGCAAGGCGCCGAUGGUGCAGGAGCUCCCCGCGGUGGCGCCGCACGUCGCGGCCAAGGUGGCGGCGGCCGCGGCCGACGCGGUGGAGACCCUGGCCCGGCCGCCGGUGCCGCUCGUCGCGACCCAGCUCACCCGCAAGGAGAAGGAGGAGGACUGGUUCGCCAUGACCGGCACCAGGCUGCCCUACCGCCCCCAGCAGCGCCGCCCCAAGGCCGUCGAGGACAAGCUCCAGAAAAUGUCCCCGGGGCAGACGCUGCCUGAGGUGACCAGGGCCAGGUACAUGGUGCGCGUGAAGAAGCAAAAGAAGCGCCCCGGCCUGCGAGCAAUGGCGGAGGAGGACGCCCUGAGCUCCAAGAGGCACGACUCAGACGAUGACGCGGCGGGAGAAAAAAACCAUUUCGGUGUCGCCGAUGUAGAGGAGUGUGGUAGCCGGAGGAAGAGGGGUUGA